UGUGAGGUGGUCGAAUUUUAGUCGGUAGAUUGUAAAUUUAUUAAUAAGUAGUAUACUUUCUCAUGG
rnacentral:tRNA from 1 species